UUUCCUUUCUUUCGCUCCAAACGCGAUUCUUCUUUCGCGGUUCAGACCCUUCCUCAUCGAUGUUUCACAAAAUCCAACUCCUUCAAUAAAUCGUUUCAAACUCAAACCUCUGAUCGAAGAUACCGAGUUUUAACGACUGCAAGGUUGGUUGCGCCGAGUCGGAUCACACCGAGUCUCAGAAUUUAACUCAGUUGAUCACCGAUGAAAACCUUGGGGUUUUCAAUUCAGAUUAUGGGGUUUGUCGCGUUAUGAUGUGAAACCGUCGCAAUUUGAAGGUUACGAUGUGUUGGUGGUUUCGUCUCGUUGUCUCGUUAUGGGUUUUUCUUCGAUGAGGAGGAUUCUUGCUGGCGGUCAAGCAAAGACGACGUUGGAAGGAAGUUCUCUUUUCCCUUCAAUUUCAGACUACAAUGGGAGAUUUCAUCAAGGUAUGAUUUCCAGGGUACCAAAUAGAGGGAAACUUUCUCUUGGUAAGAGUUAAAGCUUUUGCCCAGGUGCUUGAAAGAUUUGAAUUGAUAGUAAUGGACAUCGUUGAAGGAAGAUUUUAAUGGCACAGACGAUGGAAAGGAUAUAAAGUCAUUUACUAAAAAUCAUUAUAGAUGAUGAUUGGCUAGCUUUAGAAUGACAUUCUGUAGAGAUCUCGUGUUGCCAACACUUGGAUUGUAAUCCCAUCCUUUUGAGGUUGGGGUGUCUUCCUCAAAUUAAACGCCCUUGCCCCUUUCAUUUUGAAGCUACAUGGAUCAUUCAUGAGAACUAACGAACUAUCAUAAGUUGGAUGAAAAUGCUUGAUAUGUAGAAUGAGGCAGGUCUGUUUCUGCAAUGAAUAAAGCCAAGGAGGAGUCCAUAAAGUUUGGUUUUCUAGAAUAUUGACUCUCUGUAUUUGUUUUUUUAUAAUAGAAUUCUUUGUUAGGAGAAGUUGCAUCGGUAUCUAAAACCCAGGGAGCAACAAAUUAAGUUUGGUAAUAACAACACCUCUUUUUUCCAUGCUCAAAGUGUUAUUUGCAGGGAAAGAAACAAGAUCCAUGGUUAGCUGGAAUAAGACAACCAGAGACUUUAUAUGAAAAGGAACAUCGAAUGUGAUAACUUUGGCUAGAAACAUCUGUAGCUUAGGUGUGAGAAUGGCCACAAAAGUCAAUAAUACUUUGCUUGGAAACCUGGUGUGGGAACUACAAAUUGCUUACGGUCGGGUGAAAGAUUUUAGGUUCCAUAGUUUGGAACUUCAUUACUAAGGUCGGAAUUAUUCUCAGAGAUUCAGGUAGGAGCUGGUGAUCUUUAAUUUUGGUAUAAGGAUUGGAUAGAGUUUGCCCCCCUUUGUUACCAGGUUCCAUAAUAUGUUGACAUCCAUGAUGUUGAAGUUAAGUCAAGGAUUUGAUUGAAAAUAAUAUGCUCAAUCCUUUCCUUGCUCCCAAUUUUUCCUCUAAUGGUAUGCAACUACAUCUGAAAAUGUUAAACCAUCAUGGAAUGCUAGUCUCUAAUACCUGUCAAAUUUGACAGACGAGAGAGCAAUCCUUUCCUAUGUAAAGGGACAAUUGUAUUGCUAAUUGUUAUCAUUAGUUGUUUCAUAGGGAUAAUUGUUUUCCAUUCUCACUCCAAUUCUCGAGAGUUCUCUACUAUGUGCUCCUAAAUUGUGAAUGGUAACAGUGUUGGUUAUCAAGGGAAACAUGGUUUUAGUGAUUGUUAUUAUUUUAGAAUGCAGAUCGCAAAUAGAUAUGAGCUUUGCAAAAUUAUUUAUUUAUAUAUAUAUUUUU